rnacentral:rRNA from 1 species
GCCUAACACAUGCAAGUCGAACGGCAGCACAGGGGAGCUUGCUCCCUGGGUGGCGAGUGGCGGACGGGUGAGUAAUACAUCGGGACCUACCCAUGACGUGGGGGAUAACCUCGGGAAACCGGGACUAAUACCGCAUACGUCCUACGGGAGAAAGCGGGGGACCUUCGGGCCUCGCGCGUCUGGACGGACCGAUGUUCGAUUAGCUAGUUGGUGGGGUAAAGGCCUACCAAGGCUGCGAUCGAUAGCUGGUCUGAGAGGAUGAUCAGCCACAUUGGGACUGAGACACGGCCCAAACUCCUACGGGAGGCAGCAGUGGGGAAUAUUGGACAAUGGGCGCAAGCCUGAUCCAGCAAUGCCGCGUGUGUGAAGAAGGCCUUCGGGUUGUAAAGCACUUUUAUCAGGAGCGAAAUCGGCAAGGUUAAUAACCGUGUCGUCUGACGGUACCUGAGGAAUAAGCACCGGCUAACUUCGUGCCAGCAGCCGCGGUAAUACGAAGGGUGCAAGCGUUAAUCGGAAUUACUGGGCGUAAGGUGUGCGUAGGCGGGUUAGUUAAGUCUGUUGUGAAAUCCCCGGGCUCAACCUGGGAAUGGCAAUGGAUACUGGCUGACUAGUUGCGGUCAGAGGAUGGUGGAAUUCCCGGUGUAGCGGUGAAAUGCGUAGAGAUCGGGAGAACAUCAGUGGCGAAGGCGCCAUCUGGGACAACCACUGACGCUGAAGCACGAAAGCGUGGGGAGCAAACAGGAUUAGAUACCCUGGUAGUCCACGCCCUAAACGAUGCGAACUGGACGUUGGUCUCAACUCGGAGAUCAGUGUCGAAGCUAACGCGUUAAGUUCGCCGCCUGGGGAGUACGGUCGCAAGACUGAAACUCAAAGGAAUUGACGGGGGCCCGCACAAGCGGUGGAGUAUGUGGUUUAAUUCGAUGCAACGCGAAGAACCUUACCUGGCCUUGACAUGUCGCGAAUCCUGCAGAGAUGCGGGAGUGCCUUCGGGAAUGCGAACACAGGUGCUGCAUGGCUGUCGUCAGCUCGUGUCGUGAGAUGUUGGGUUAAGUCCCGCAACGAGCGCAACCCUUGUCCUUAGUUGCCAGCACGUUAUGGUGGGAACUCUAAGGAGACUGCCGGUGACAAACCGGAGGAAGGUGGGG